UGUGUGGAAGCCUGUACCAGCCCUGCCAGGACAAGUCACUGAUGCAGAAGGUUUGGAGUAUUCACUCUUUAUGUGUUUCACCAGUAAAGGACUGAGUGAAAGCAAAGGGCAGUCAAUAACUCAUCAGACAUAACAUAAAAUGAAACUAAUGUUCAAUCAAUUAGGUACCAUAAGCAUUCCAUGAAAGUAUCAAUUGGAAAUAAAAGUAGUUUAAGUAAUUAAGCAACCUUUUAUAGGCAUCUGGGGAUGGGUUCUGUUUUCACAAGUGGCAUAUUCUAACAAGAAUCUCCUGUCAAUAGCUGCCAGAGAUGCAUUGCUUUAGAUGCUAAACUGGGCUAUUUCCACAAAUAGUACCUCUAGCAUAUUGAGUUCACUGAGAUAACACAGUGAAAUUUUUGUCAUCUUAAUUUAAAUACAUUUCUGCAGUUCCUGAAGAUGCAUUUACAUGUGCCUACAUGUAUAAGAAACACAAUGAAGAUUGAAGCCAUCAAUCAAAACUGUGGCUUUGUAAGGAGCUGCCUGCAAAGAACCUUCCCAAACAUCUGGAUCUGAAGGCAGGAAAGCUUCUCCAGUAAAAUUCUUACUUAUUGAUGACAUGCAUCAUCUGACCCCUGUAUCAUUGCUACAUACAAAAUAUCAAGGACACAGGAAUUUAACAUGAAAGUGGCACAUUGUAAAUGUAAUGAAGAGGAGCAUUACUGAUGAAGUUAGAAAACAAGAGCCUAUGCUGACAUUUGUGGAGCAUCGUUGCCAAUAGGCAUAUGUAAAGAUUUACUGUUUAUAGCACUGUGGUUGUUGACUCUGCCACAUGAAUCAUUUCUGUCUGCAAUCUAACUUGUGAGCAUCUACAGUCAUACAAGAAGGAAGAAUUUUUUCACUGAAAGGGUUGUCAAUGGAAUGGGCUGCCCCAGGGACGUGGUGGAAUCACAAAUCCAAGAAAUGACUGGAUGUGACACUCAGUUCUGCAGUUGACAAGGUGGUGAUCAGUCAAAGGUUGGACUUGAUGAUUUUGGAGGUUUUUUCCAACUUUAAUGACUCUGUGGUAAGGAUAUGCAAAUUUGUGGAGCUGUAGAUGGGCCUAAAUUCUAGCAAGUGUACAAGAUGAGACCUGGAAAUAUUGGGAAGGUGUAGCCAGCUUGAUAGGCAAUGAGUGCUGUGUUCAGUGGUCAACACCUGCAGUAUCUCCAGAGAAUGAGGAGGGAUUUCAUGCAAAACAAUGGGAGGCAAAUAUUUGAAGGGUUUCUCCUGCAAACAGCUCCAGAGUGAACACAAAUGUGAGUAGUGAAAUUGUUUUUCAAUCCAGGACUUGUUUAACAGCCUUAGCCUACUUACUGUGCAUUGAUGAGCUCUUACAAUAUGAAUUCACUAUUCUGAGAAACAUCUGACUCCUUGAAAAACUGCAAUGCCUUCCAUGAGAGUGUCCGUUCAAGAAGAUUUUAUUCUGAGUAUCUGAGCCUGGGGUUUUGCUUUUAUAGGGUUGGUUUUUUUUUUUCCCUCAGUAAAAUUGUCAAUGAGAAAGUCUCCUUUAUUUUUUUUUUUUUUUCAAAAAAGCUCAACUUCCAAAACUGAAUUUCUUACAAAAAUAAUGAUGAAACAAAUACAAGGAAAAUGUGUCAAAAUCAGCCACUUCAUUAACAAACAGAACAGCAUUAAUUUUACAGGAGAAUGACUCAAUUAGGGAGGAAAGUCACACCUCUGGCCAUAAUCAGUUGGUGUGUAUUGGUUGUGAAGUGGUGCACACUGACUAUGGAUUAUUCAAUGCCAUGGAAUGAUGGGGGUUUUUGAGGAAGGUGGAAACGUACUUUUCAGGGCUCUUUUUGGACUUACCUUCCCAUGCUUUCUUUCCCUUCUACUUCAUUAUUCCUUUUCAUCGAGGUUUCUGCUGCUUUUAUUCUUUCUAUUGUGGAUUUGCCUGCCAGGUUUUAGCACUGUGCCCCUAAAACCUAAAGAAUAAAUUCAUAAGGAACUAUCUGAGUAAAGCUGAAUAGAUUUCUGUUUCAUGUUCUCUUGGCUUCUGCAUUUCAGAAGUGCUAGAACCAUUGGUCUGCUUUGCACCAGACUUGAAUGUGAGCACAGGGGAGGAGGAAAGAAAAAGAAAAACACAGAAGAAUAGGAGUAAAUAUUUCUGCUAGUUACAAGUGAAAGUCUGUCUGAGGUAUGGGGAUCACAUCCAAAGACAUAUAAACCUAUGGGUUUAUAUCAGCUCUGUUGCUGAUCCACACAGAAAUUUGGUACUGGUUACAAACUCUUUAUUGUUUCUGCCUCCUUUACUCUUUUUUAGAGCUACAAAUAACAUUGAAGUUUUUAGGUUCUGCUGCCUCUGCACAACGUCAGCCCUGUCUCAAACAUAAGUCCAGCACCUUCAAAGAGCUGUUUAUUGGCAAGGAUUUCUCAGCUUUUCCAGGUAACUAAUUAUGGUCAAAUGUCUGAAAGACUCUUCCUAGCAGUGUGUUCUCUUGGAGCAAAAGCUCAUUACUCUUUGACAAAACCUUCCUGAAUCUGAAGGAAAAACUCUUCACAGUCUCAAUAAAAACAUUUUACUGACUAGAACAGCACUAUCAUUAAUCAUACCUUCCUUCCCAGCCUGUUCUUGGAUUCUUUAAACACAGUAAUAGUAGAAGAGUAGAAAAGUAAAAACAUCUAUUCUUUUAACCUUUUCUAAUUUAGCAUCUUUUAAAUCUCAUGUUUCUGUUUCUUUUCUCUAUGCUUCCCUUAAUUUGCCCACAUUUUUAAAGCAUGAUCCCUAAAAGACAGACAAGCUGAAGUGCCAUGGGAAAUAAAGAGAGCAGAAUAACAAGCUUGUGCCUCUGACACCAGAUAAACACUUAAUAGGUCACAGAAUGAAGUUUGCUCACUUGUUUUCCUCUGCACAAAUGGCAUAGUCUGAACAUUUGAAAUGUGUGCUCUCUGUGUGAAGCUAAGCGUUACCAGAAAUAUUGAUGAGCCUGAACCCAGAGCAGAUCUCUGGAGAUCCCUGUUUCAUGUCAGACUGAGAAGACUCACCAGAGGAUUGCCUGUGCAUAUUUAGAUUAUUUUUUGGUCCUUUAUUCCCCUUUAUAGAGGGUACAAUAAUUUCAUCGUCACCAUGUUUCCCCAAUUUCAUUAAGAAUGCCAUGUAGUUUAUGACACCCUGAUCCACUUAGGGUGUCAAAAAGAGAAAUUCCAUUGAAUUUGCUUCUCAUUGCAUUGUUAUUCUUUCAAGGCUUUGUGAAUGGAUUGUUUAAUGGAUUUGUUAAUGGAUUGUUCUCCAGUAUCUUUCUGGAUACUGAAGUGAGGCUGGCAGGUCUAUGAUUUUCUUGUACUCUUUUGUUUGGUUGUUGCUUUUGGUUUUGUUUUGGUUUUUUUUUUUUUUUUCUGCUGUUAAAUUUUAACAACUAAGUUUUAUCUUCUCCUGACCUGUGCUGCAACAGUUACACUCCAAGUCAUGGGAAGUAAUCACUAAUGACUUGGAGACUGCUUUAACUACUACUUGAAAUUCUUGAGGAAGCCCUGGUUACUUAGAUACUUCCAUCAUUCAAAUAUUACUUAAUCUCUCCAUAAAUAGAUGAAUACUGGCUAUAAAUAACCAUUUAAAUUCUAUUUUCAGUACUAUGAGUGACAGGGAUAUAUUAUUGAGGAAGCAGAGACUGAGUAUUAAAAGGGUGUAGGGAGGAAAUAAUUUAGACUUUUAGGAAUUACUGGCUCAAUUAAAUCCUAAGUCAUAAAAGAGUUAUAAGCUAAGGUCAUAUGCAAGAAGUUCUCCUUACUUAGAAAAUGAAUCAGGGUCAUCGGUCUGAGCCUUUUUAAAAAGUUUCAUAUUGGCCUUUUAAUUCUUUUAUAGUUCUUUUAAGUUCAGUGAUAGAUUUAGUUUUGUUUAACUUGUCUCUACAUGUAUUGAAUUAAGAGCUGGUCUUUUACUGAAGAAUUAUGUAAGCUGCAGAUUUUUUAGAAUCACUUUGCACAAUUCAGUCUGGGGAAAAAAUAGAGAAUAUUUUACCUAAUUAACUGAGAAUUAAAUUAACAUCUUGCAAUUUGUACAUAAUUUCUCCAGUGAAUUAAUUUCUGUAGGCUUUUUCAUACCAAACCUAAAAGGAUAAAAUGCUUAAUUUGAAAUUCCAUCUAAUUAAAGGAAUUCUGCAUUUUAUUGAUUUCUUACCAGAAGAAAACAAUUUCAAAGCAAGCAGUAUUACACUAGGGGAAGCAAUAGCCUUUAGCAUAUUUGACGGUGUAUUUUAGCAUUUCAGUUUAAGAGAGUUUUAUAUGAUUUUACCGGAUGCAUUUUAUUCUCAUGGUUUUAGGUCAGGUUUCACUACUAUGUAAAUUUUAAUCUGAAAGAAAGAAAAAUUAGGUUGCAAACACAAGGAAAAAUCUUGUACAAAGUUGAAAAUCAGCCUAAAUAAAUUAGACACCCUACACAGUGUAAUAUAUAUUUUAAACACGUACUCAUGAUGAUAUUCUUAAAGGUCAUAGAUGAUCUCAAACUGCAAGUUACCUUUAAAAUAAAAAUGUUGAUUAUAAUGAAAGUGAUUGUAAGUUUGGCUUAAAUUGUUCUUUUCUUUGAGAAGUGUCUCUUGCUCUCUCCUCUUUCCUGUUAAUUACUGUGUGCUAGCAGGAGAGAAGGUUCUGCUGCAGCUGUGCAGUAGGUGACAAAUAGGAAAGCACUGUAUGGGCAACAGUAGUGAAACCACCUUUGUCUUAUGCAUUCAUACCCUUGGAAAAUAUGUUUCACUUGUCCAGAUGCAGGCUGGGCUCCCUAUUCUUACAGUGGAGCUGUUGGAAAUAUCCUCGGCAAGGUCUGUGGGCAGGUCAUCAGUGCCUGGCCUCUACCAGGACACUGCUUCAGCCACCUGGAGAAACACAACUGAAAAAGAAAUGAUGCACUUAUUGCAUUUGCUGUAAUUGCAGCUAGAAAGCUUCUGUCUUACCAAAUACAUCAAAGCUUUGGGGAAGUAAAAUAAAUAUUGAACGUGGCAGUCAUGUAUAGUAUACCCCAGACCUAUUACUUUGUGAUUUCAACAUUUUUGUGCUUUUCAUAUCAGUGAUUAAUUAUGAGCUCCACCUUUCAUCCUAAAGGGAAAGUUAUUAAUUAUUACAAAUGAGUCUCCUCAAAGUUACUUAAGGUAGGGCUGUGACUGGAAUGAAAGAUUUAUAAUUUAACACAGCCUCAUUUUAAUUUUUUCCAGCACAGAAAGUCUAAGAAACAUUCAUAUCUGGAUGUUGAUUAUUCUUUUGUAAUGACUUAAAAAAAAAAAAAAAGGAAAAGAAAAGCAGGGUACAAGCUGGAAAUAAAUUUUCCAGUCUUCACCUGAAAUUUUAUAUCCUAAUUUGAAGCCUAGCUGGUUUUGGACCAGAAAUUGUUGUAAUGUUAGACUAUUUCCUAUUUUGAGAUGGAUAUUUUAUGUGAUAUUUGAAAUUGUUCCAGGGACAUAAUUUUUAGAAAAAAAAAAAAAAUCCUUUGGUUGCCAGAUUGAGUUCUCUAGUAUUUCAUUUAUCUGUAUCAUCAAGGCACUCUCACUGCAAUUAAAAUAUGAAUGAAAAUAGGCAUUCUAUGCAAACUGACCAUACUUACAUGUUUUUCAUAUGGUCUUUUUUACAAAGCUUCCAAGUUUUUCUAUACCUAUGCUAAGCAUUGGGAAUUUCACUGCUUUUGUGCUGAUGCCCUUGUAUUAUAUAAUUAUUAAGGGAUGGUGCAGAGUGCAUCUCACUCUGCAUGGAGGCAUCCCCAUUUUGGAAAUAAAUGAAAUAAGUAGUAGGUGCUUCUCUGCCUUAAGAGGUGGGAUCAUUUUUGGAAGGAAAUUCUGAAGUAUAGAGCAGUAGUUCUGCUUGUUACACCAAAUGAAAGGCACAGUAUGGGAACAGGAAGGAGGCUCUCCACAGACACAAUCUAUUCAUCGUGCCACAAAAAAAAAUCCACUCGGGGUGUGCCCAAUACUGCAUAAAAGGGGAGUUCCCAGCAUGUAAAGUUAUAUUUGCUAUCUAUGUUCUUCUUUUUAUUCUACCUUGUUAAAACAAGUAUUUUAUCAUGCCGUUUAUCAUGCCUUUCUCUUUGAGAUCCAGGAAGAAUCCCACUCCAUCUCUCUUUCUUCCCUUUCUCCCACAGUCCUGGUGCAACCCAGCUGGAAAGGUGCCAAAGUGCAGGAAGGUCCUAGCUGGAUAUUAGGGUUGUAAGACAUGCCCUGGAGCAUUCCUGGGCAAUUUUGCAAAUCCUGCAGACUUGUUGGUAUGGGUGCUAUGAACUGGUUUAAAUAGAAGGGCAAAGAAAACUAAACGCUGUGAAUGAAAUGGAAAGAACUUUGAAGGUUCAAAACAUUCCCCCAAAAAAAAGAGAUAAAAACCAAAUGAGA